CUUUAUAGAAGCCGAUGGGUGGGACCCCCUACCCUAAUUGCCGACACUUCGAUUUUGUACAUUUUAUAGUACAUUAAUUAAAAAAAUUAAAUUAAAUAAAAAUAAAUGAAAAACAAGACAAUUGGAAUUUGGAUAGGAUGUCUCAUUAGGCGAACUCUCCAGUUGGAUAAGUCCUCCACCAAGUAAGUGCUGGUUUUAAAAGGACAUGGGGUGGACCUAGAAAAUGAAGAUUGCUCAAUUCAGAUUCAACAGAGUCCCAACGCGGAAGUCUACCUACCAUCAUUCAGUCACCAAAUAUCUUGUAAAGCAAGGAAUAAUUAAAAGACAGGGAUGACAAAAGUUUUCGCUUUAUGAUUUGAU
rnacentral:misc_RNA from 1 species